rnacentral:rRNA from 1 species
AAUCAACGCUGGCGGCGUGCCUCAGACAUGCAAGUCGAACGCGAAAGGUUCCUUCGGGAGCCGAGUAGAGUGGCGCUCGGGUGAGUAGCACGUAGGUAAUUUGCCUUUGGGUGGGGAAUAACAGUCGGAAACGGUUGCUAAUACCGCAUAAUGCAGCGGCUCGACAUCGAGACAGUUGUUAAAGCGGGGGAUCCUUCGGGACCUCGCGCCUAAAGAGAAGCCUGCGGCGGAUAGCUAGUUGGUGAGGUAAUGGCUCACCAAGGCGACGAUCCGUAACCGGCCUGAGAGGGCGGACGGUCACACUGACACUUAAAUACGGGUCAGACUCCUACGGGAGGCAGCAGUCGGGAAUUUUGGGCAAUGGGCGAAAGCCUGACCCAGCAACGCCGCGUGAAGGAUGAAAU